rnacentral:rRNA from 1 species
AGAGUUUGAUCCUGGCUCAKAACCAACGCUGGCGGCGUGCCUAACACAUGCAAGUCGUACGAGAAAGUUGGCUUCGGCCGAUGAGUAAAGUGGCGCACGGGUGAGUAACGCGUGGAUAAUCUACCCCUCAGUUGGGAAUAACUCAUCGAAAGGUGGGCUAAUACCGAAUAACACUGCAUAGCUACUGUUGUGCAGUCAAAGAUGGCCUCUGCUUGCAAGCUAUCGCUGAAGGAUGAGUCCGCGUACCAUUAGCUAGUUGGUAGGGUAAUAGCCUACCAAGGCAACGAURGUUAGCUGGUCUGAGAGGAUGACCAGCCACACUGGAACUGAGACACGGUCCAGACUCCUACKGGAGGCAGCAGUGAGGAAUAUUGCGCAAUGGGGGAAACCCUGACGCAGCAACGCCGCGUGAGUGGGGAAGGUUUUCGGACCGUAAAGCUCUGUCGAGCGGGAAGAAAUGCAUAAUGGCUAAUAUCCAUUAUGCUUGACGGUACCGCUAGAGGAAGCACCGGCUAACUCCGUGCCAGCAGCCGCGGUAAUACGGGGGGUGCAAGCGUUGUUCGGAAUCAUUGGGCGUAAAGAGCGUGUAGGCGGCUGGAUAAGUCAGAUGUGAAAGCCCUGGGCUUAACUCAGGAAGUGCAUUUGAAACUGUUCAGCUUGAGUAAGGGAGAGGAAAGUGGAAUUCCUGGUGUAGAGGUGAAAUUCGUAGAUAUCAGGAGGAACACCGGUGGCGAAGGCGACUUUCUGGCCCUAUACUGACGCUGAGACGCGAGAGCGUGGGUAGCAAACAGGAUUAGAUACCCUGGUAGUCCACGCUGUAAACGAUGUUCACUAGGUGUUGGGGGUAUUGACCCUCUCAGUGCCGCAGCUAACGCAUUAAGUGAACCGCCUGGGGAGUACGGUCGCAAGAUUAAAACUCAAAGGAAUUGACGG